UCGAGUCGUUGGAUGGUCGCUCCCCGCCACAGUUCGUUGGCGGGGGGAGGAAAGUCCGAGCUCCAGAGGGCAGCGUACUCCGCUAACCGCGGGGCCUUCCCCGCCGAUGGCGGGGAGGCGGAUCAGAGCCACAGAGACGAGUAAUCCCUCCACCUACGGUGGGGGGAAGACGUGAAACGCGGCAAUCUCUACGCGGAGCAAGGCCAAACGUCUCGCUUAUCGGGUUGCCCGCCCGAAUCCCGCGCGACGCGUGGGUAGCGAGGAGGUAGGCCGCAGGACUCUGGUGGCAACAUCAGAGCGAGAUGGAUGACCAUCGGCCGUCGCUUCGCGACGGAGUGAACACAGUGUACAGUUCACUGUACACGGUACACUGUACACUUCCGAGCGGAGCGAGGGUUACAGAACUCGGCUUAUAGGCGCCCUGGGGGC
rnacentral:RNase_P_RNA from 1 species